CCCUUAGAUGUCCGGGGCUGCACGCGCGCUACACUGAAGGAAUCAGCGUGCUAAAACCAUUGUCGAAAGGCAUUGGUAAACCCAUUAAAAUCCUACGUGAUUGGGAUCGGGAAUUGCAAUUAUUUCCCUUGAACGAGGAAUUCCCAGUAAGUGUGGGUCAUAAGCUCGCGUUAAUUACGUCCCUGCCCUUUGUACACACCGCCCGUCGCUGCCCGGGACUGAGCCGUUUCGAGAAAAGCGGGGACUGCUGCUGUCGGGGCUUUCGGGCCUUGGCUUCGGUGGAAACCGCUUUAAUCGCAGUGGCUUGAACCGGGCAAAAGUCGUAACA
rnacentral:rRNA from 1 species